AUUGAACGCUGGCGGCAGGCCUAACACAUGCAAGUCGAGCGGAUGAAGGGAGCUUGCUCCUGGAUUCAGCGGCGGACGGGGGAGUAAUGCCUAGGAAUCUGCCUGGUAUUGGGGGAUAACGUCCGGAAACGGGCGCUAAUACCGCAUACUUCCUGAGGGAGAAAGUGGGGGAUCUUCGGACCUCACGCUAUCAGAUGAGCCUAGGUCGGAUUAGCUAGUUGGUGGGGUAAAGGCCUACCAAGGCGACGAUCCGUAACUGGUCUGAGAGGAUGAUCAGUCACCCUGGAACUGAGACACGGUCAAGACUCCUAAGGGAGGCAGCAGUCGGGAAUGUUGGACAACGGGCGAAAGUCUGAUCCAGCCAUGCCGAGUGUGUGAAGAAGGUCUUCGGAUUGUAAAGAACUUUAAGUUGGGAGGAAGGGCAGUAAGUUAAUACCUUGCUGUUGUGACGUUACCAACAGAAUAAGCACCGGCUAACUUCGUG
rnacentral:rRNA from 1 species